CGCCCUUAGAGUUUGAUCAUGGCUCAGAUUGAACGCUGGCGGCAGGCUUAACACAUGCAAGUCGAGCGGUAGGAGAGCUUGCUCUCUACGAGCGGCGGACGGGUGAGUAAUGUCUGGGAAACUGCCUGAUGGAGGGGGAUAACUACUGGAAACGGUAGCUAAUACCGCAUAAUGUCGCAAGACCAAAGAGGUUCGUCUUGCCAUCAGAUGUGCCCAGAUGGGAUUAGCUAGUAGGUGGGGUAAUGGCUCACCUAGGCGACGAUCCCUAGCUGGUCUGAGAGGAUGACCAGCCACACUGGAACUGAGACACGGUCCAGACUCCUACGGGAGGCAGCAGUGGGGAAUAUUGCACAAUGGGCGCAAGCCUGAUGCAGCCAUGCCGCGUGUAUGAAGAAGGCCUUCGGGUUGUAAAGUACUUUCAGCGAGGAGGAAGGCAUUAAGUAAUCUUAGUGAUUGACGUUACUCGCAGAAGAAGCACCGGCUAACUCCGUGCCAGCAGCCGCGGUAAUACGGAGGGUGCAAGCGUUAAUCGGAAUUACUGGGCGUAAAGCGCACGCAGGCGGUUUGUUAAGUCGGAUGUGAAAUCCCUGGGCUCAACCUAGAACUGCAUUCGAAACUGGCAAGCUGAGUCUUGUAGAGGGGGGUAGAAU
rnacentral:rRNA from 1 species